UCACCAGUGGUACUGGUUGAGAUCUUUUGCCUAUCGUUGUUGCGGCUAUUUGAAGCUACUUGCUUAUUUUAAAGUUUAAGUUCUCGUGGUUGAGUUGCUGCCGUUGAUUUAAUACUUUCCUGUCUGAGCACCAGUGGUACUGGUUGCAGUGUUGCUUAAAAUUAUUAAUUCUCAAUUUCUAUUUUGUUACUGCUGGAAUUGCUAGUUCCGUGGCUCAAGUGCUACUUUUGAGCGUUUGACGUGGGUAAUUGACUGUCCAAUUGGUGACAUUUGUUGAGUUUCACUUGCUCGAAUUGGUUGAAUUCACUGCUUUGUUGGGGUCAUUUUUGGUAUCACUUGAGUCCUAUUUUGCUGAUUUCUGUAUUGAGUCCAUUGACGUGAUAUGUUGGAAUAUUUUGGGCUGUGACGAAGUGCUACUUUGCUUGGAAUUUCUGUUGUGCCGUUAGUAGGAUAACUGUUGGGUUUGUCUAUUGACUCUCGCGGCACCUGUGUCCCUUGUUUGGUUAUUGCCAUUGGUUGAUUUUCAUUGACUUGUUGGGAACAAUUUGCUAUUGUUGGGAGAAAUUGACCGGUGGGACAUUUGUCGAGUACUUGGGUGGACGCAUUUUGCAUUUAAUUGUCCGGUUGCGGGAUAAUAUUGUUUACUCACUUGAUUGUUGCCUUACCCUUAGGUGCGACUUCUGCUUUACUGGUUUAAUACAUUUGCUGGGACACCAGUUUCUAUUGUUGGUCGGAUUGUUAAGUGAGACACAUUGGUGGAUAUUGACUUGCUUAUUGUCCUUAUUGGUGGCUGUAGUUGUUAUUGAAUUGUCUAGGACCCCUCGACCCACAUCAUUGUUGGAGUGUUUAUGUACCAUACGGGUCUUGCACCUCAAUUUCCACCUCAACCGCCGCUGUGACCCCGUCCCUAUUUUGAUGAGUUCAGGGAAGUACCGUUGCUUCUCUCCUUCCUUCUGCUUUUACAUUAUCACAUUGAGGGCAAUGUGUGAAUUAGGUGUGGGGGGGAUCGUUGUGGUGCUAGUAUUUUUAUUUUUAGUUUCUAAAGGUUUUUCCUUUAUUUUUAGUUAGUUUUUGCCUAUCUUUCAUUUAUUUUAUUUUCUUUUUCUUUCUAGUGGUCAGUCCUUAAAUGAAUACCAAGUUUUGAUGCUGGAUUGUUGCCUCUAAUUAUGCUAUUGCCAAGUUUUAUUACUAAAAGGGUAUUAAGUUAAUGUGGUUGAGUUCAGGAAUAUCUCUUUGGUGAAUAUCGGUAAUUGCUUGACUUUUCCAAUUUUUGGUUAACUUUUCUAGGCAUAGGGAAUGAUUGUUGGCAUUUUUCAUGUGAAUUGGUCCAAUUAUUAAUUUUAGUUCUUCAUGUUUGGAAAUUUGAGGCUGGCUGCUGUUAUUUUUGGUGUUAUUUUUAGUUAUUAUACUAUAUGGUUGUAAAUAAGAGUUGACUGUACUCCGCUAGUUGUUACUACUGAGUAACCGGGGAUCUUCACCUAAAGUGUCGAUUCUCGCGUCAAAAGGUAGUAGUUACUAUGAGUGCGUGGUCCCGUAGCAAUUAGAGCUGAGUAAUCGGGCUUCUCCAUCUAUCAAAUGUUGGAGUUCGCGUCAAAAGGCUCUAAGGGCUAUAGACUAAGUCUUUUGUUUUUUUUUUUUUUAAAAAAAAAAGAAAAAAUAAAAUAAAGAUUGUGUUAGUAUGUGAAUAAGUCAGCUUGCCGGUUUGUGAUCUUAAUGUCGAGAUUUUGGUUAAUAGUUGGACCAUUUGCUGAUAAAUGUGAGCAACCAUUCCUUUUUCUUAGAUUAGUUUGCUUUAAAUUGGAGGAGUUGGUGGUUAAGAAGCUAACCGGAGUGGUUUUUUCUUGGAUCUUAACUGUGAUGCUUGAUAUAUGUUUUUCUGGGUAUCUUGGCAAUAUGAUAGUUAGAGCAAUAGCCAUUGUCAAAAUUUUGGUGUUCAAUUGCUGUUCUUAUGCUUGAGGGCAAGCAUGAUUUAGGUGUGGGGGGAAUUGAUAGGGUGUUACUUGUUGGUUAUUUUAUUAUUAAUUUUUCCCUUUAUCCGUGCCAAAUAUUGUUUUAAUUAUUAAUAUUUACUUAUAUUUGGUAUUGGACUCAAUUUCAGGAAGUGAAACAGAAAACUA
rnacentral:lncRNA from 1 species